rnacentral:rRNA from 1 species
UAGUUUGAUCCUGGCUCAGGACGAACGCUGGCGGCGUGCCUAAUACAUGCAAGUGGAACGCAGUUAAUUCACCGGAGCUUGCUCCAUCGAAUUGACUGAGUCGCGAACGGGUGAGUAACGCGUAGGUAACCUGCCUGAUAGCGGGGGAUAACUAUUGGAAACGAUAGCUAAUACCGCAUAACAACUAUUCUCGCAUGAGAAAAGUUUGAAAGGAGCAACUGCUUCACUAUCAGAUGGACCUGCGUUGUAUUAGCUAGUAGGUAGGGUAACGGCCUACCUAGGCAUCGAUACAUAGCCGACCUGAGAGGGUGAUCGGCCACACUGGGACUGAGACACGGCCCAGACUCCUACGGGAGGCAGCAGUAGGGAAUCUUCGGCAAUGGGGGCAACCCUGACCGAGCAACGCCGCGUGAGUGAAGAAGGUUUUCGGAUCGUAAAGCUCUGUUGUAAGAGAAGAACGUUAGUGGGAGUGGAAAAUCCAUUAAGUGACGGUAUCUUACCAGAAAGGGACGGCUAACUACGUGCCAGCAGCCGCGGUAAUACGUAGGUCCCGAGCGUUGUCCGGAUUUAUUGGGCGUAAAGCGAGCGCAGGUGGUUAGAUAAGUCUGAAGUAAAAGGCAGUGGCUCAACCAUUGUAUGCUUUGGAAACUGUUUAACUUGAGUGCAGAAGGGGAGAGUGGAAUUCCAUGUGCAGCGGUGAAAUGCGUAGAUAUAUGGAGGAACACCGGUGGCGAAAGCGGCUCUCUGGUCUGUAACUGACACUGAGGCUCGAAAGCGUGGGUAGCGAACAGGAUUAGAUACCCUGGUAGUCCACGCCGUAAACGAUGAGUGCUAGAUGUUAGGCCCUAUCCGGGGCUUAGUGUCGAAGCUAACGCGAUAAGCACUCCGCCUGGGGAGUACGGCCGCAAGGCUGAAACUCAAAGGAAUUGACGG